ACUGCAGGCUGCCGGGGCUUCUUCCAAAGCAGGGGUGGGGAUGCUGAGUCACAGAUCUGUCACCACUUCGCACCUCUCUGCAAUCCGGGGGCUAAAGCAAAAGCGAAAGCGAAUACUCCUUAGCAGCGGUCUGGUCCUGGAGCUGAGCUCGCCACCUCCCAGGGACCCCAGCCUUGCGUCCCGUUGGGUCACUGCUGGGGACAAUUGGCCAUGGCCUCGCCGCAGCUCCGGGGCUAUGGAGUCCAGGCCAUUCCUGUGUUGCUGCUGCUGCUGUUGCUACUGUUGCUCCCGCUGAGGGUGACGCCGGGCACCACGUGUCCACCUCCCGUAUCUAUUGAGCAUGCUGACAUCCGGGUCAAGAAUUACAGUGUGAACUCCAGGGAGAGGUAUGUCUGUAACUCUGGCUUUAAGCGGAAAGCUGGAACAUCCACCCUGAUUGAGUGUGUGAUCAACAAGAACACAAAUGUUGCCCACUGGACAACUCCCAGCCUCAAGUGCAUCAGAGACCCCUCCCUAGCUCACUACAGUCCAGUGCCAACAGUAGUGACACCAAAGGUGACCUCACAGCCAGAGAGCCCCUCCCCCUCUGCAAAAGGUGGGAAGCCAUCGCUGGGAAAGUCACAGAGGCAGGAGCUUGAAGAAGUCAGUCGCAUCACACCCACAGUCAAGAGUGGAAAGAAAUGAAAGUGUGCAUGUUCAUUUGCCUAAUUGUGCCCUGCUUUAAUUUCUCCACACGUUUUUUUUUUAAUAGAAUUAUUUAUUUAUUUUAUGUGUGUGAGUACACUGUAGCUGUCUUCAGACACACCAGAAGAGAGCAUCAGAUCCUGUUACCGACGGUAGUGAGCCACCAUGUGGUUGCUGGGAAUUGAACUCAGGACCUCUGGAAGAGCAGUCAGUGAGUGCUCUUAACCACUGAGCCAUCUAUCCAGCCUCAGUUUCUCCACUCUUAAGAGCACAGGAGCCCUUGCCUAUGGAAUGGAGCCACUGACGGGGGAGAGGAGGGUCUUCCCACAUCAACUAACUUCGUCAAGACAAUCCGCCAUAGACAUGCUGGACAGCCCAAACCAGUAUAGACAAUUUAAAGUGUCAAGUUAAAGCCAACCAUCACAAGGCUGUCAUACAGAAAUACUGCAUGACCAUCACAUCUCUCUCAGUCCCUGCCUUCUUUCUUUGCUUCCUUUCUGAUAGGGUUUCAAUAGGUAUCCCAAGCUAGCUUCAAACUCAUCCUCCAGAAUGCUCAGAUUAUAUGUGCCACUGAACCCAGCUCAUUGUUUUGUCCUUCGCUUGAGUGUUGUGUAGGCUAGCUCAAUGUCUUUAGCAUUUGUCUCCAUAUUAACAUUGGAAACCUGUGCGCUCUAUCCUGUGAUACUCUCGUUUCCCACUGAGUGCUUUGUUCUCCCUGUUACAUGAUCCCAUUUGUGACUUCUCCUUGUUUCUUCCUUCUACUCCCAAAUAUGGAAACCUCUUUUUCAAUCACCCUAACUCGCUCAACUGGUCAGACUAUCCUGUAUGCCCCAUGUCAGUCUUCAAUACACAAGGAACUUACUGUAAUGCUCCCGUUUGUUUAGGGUAAGAUCUGAGAAUCAGCAACGCUGGAAGCUUCCCGGGUGGUUCAGAGGCGUCCCAGCGGAGGAAGUUUGUUCUAAGGAGGAUGAGGGGUUUCUGAAUUUCAUGCCAGCGCACAGCAUAGAAGGCUCCAGUUCAGAAGUUAAUAGUAAUAAAAUCGGGCUGGCACUAUAGGUCAUUGAUAGAAUGUUUCCCUAGCAUGCAUGAGGCUCUCCCAGACAUUUGGUCAGACAUUCCUCUCUGAGACAAACAUGUACAAUCAUAAUCUUGGACACUAACUGGUAUAGUCGCAGGUGCUUAGAUGUGAGUGCUCUGCGGGGUUGGUAGUUGAGGGAGGGAGAGAUACAAAUGAGUAGUCCCAGUGGACUGAAGGGUCUGAGCAUCUCUUACAUGGAGAAUGGCUAAGAGAGUAUGGGAACAGGACACUCCAUGCCUCUGGAGCACUAGGAUGCCUACCAGGCUUUACUCAGGCUGAAUUUCGCAAGUGAGAUUUUGCCACAGUGCAAGACCCAUUUUCAAGAGAAGGGAAUAGAGAAUAGGGAAGCGGUAGGCCCCUUUAUAGUUUAGGGGCAUCCGUUUGCUAAUAACGAACAAGGAAGACAGGAACCUAAACCCAGGCAUCCUCCAUGCCAGCAGGAACUAAUGCAGAACAGUCUCCUCAGAUACCGCCUAGGGCAUCUGGAGAGGCCGGAAUAAAGCUGCAGCUUCUUAUUUCAUAAUGUCGUGCCAACGUGUAGAUAGUCGGCUGUGAUGGAGCACACCUUUGAUCUCAGCACUCAGGAGGCAGAGCCAGCUGUCAGAACCUUGUGAGUUUGAAGACAUCCUGGUCUACACAACAAGUUCCGGGUCAGCCAGGGAUACAUAAAAGACUCUGUCUCAAGGAACAACAACAGAACUGGAAGAGAACACCAGCAUUCCUGCUAUCUUUUGCAAAUAUAGUUCCACUUGUGUCUUGGCAUCGAGUCUUUAAGAAUAUAACAUACCAUCUCCAGAGAACAAGGAUAUCUGUCUGUCUCUCUGUCUCUCCUUCUCUCUCUCUGUCUUUCUCUCUCUCUCUCUCUCAGUGAUUAUAUUAUUUAGAGUUAUCACAAGUACUAUUGUCCAGGGGCUAGCUAUGCCAUCUACUUAGGGGACCGUUUUUUUUUUUUUUUGAAAGGGUGCUGGCCAGAACAAGCUCAUUAAAGUAAGUCCUUGGGUCCCAGGCACUAGUCUGAAUUUUUAUGUCUCUGUCUUGGAAUUUCCUGCAGAGCCAGAAGCUUUCUCUCCCAAAUCAGAUACCGCAAUGACCACAGAGACAGCUAUUAUGCCUGGCUCCAGGCUGACACCAUCCCAAACAACUUCUGCAGGAACUACAGGGACAGGCAGUCACAAGUCCUCCCGAGCCCCAUCUCUUGCAGCAACAAUGACCUUGGAGCCUACAGCCUCCACCUCCCUCAGGAUAACAGAGAUUUCUCCCCACAGUUCCAAAAUGACGAAAGUUCCCAGGUACUGAACUCAGGAUGUUGGUGACAGAUGCCUUUACUCAUUGAGCUAACUCUGAGCCCAAGACUUGAUUACAAAAUGCAAGCCCAACACUUCCACUGCUGUCCUCAGCUCACUAGGCAUGAGAAGUGGCCAUCUCUACAUCGGUCCUCUUGGUUGGUGCAGGGGUUGUGAUGGCUUUCCUGGCCUGGUACAUCAAAUCAAGGCAGCCUUCUCAGCCGUGCCGUGUUGAGGUGGAAACCAUGGAAACAGUACCAAUGACUGUGAGGGCCAGCAGCAAGGAGGAUGAAGACACAGGAGCCUAACCACACGAUUUCAGAAACUCAGGGAGACCUGCCCAGCUGAUCCUGAAGAGAAGAUACAAGGGCAGUUAGUCCAGCUGCGCCUGGACACAGGAGAAAGCCCAAUGUGAUAAUAGAGGUCUCUGGUAUGAUCUGUUUUACUGAGCCUGGGUGCCUCCCAUAUUCAGGCCUGGAUCCCCGGAGUCCGGAAGGACACCACCUUUCUUCCUGGUUCAUCACAGAGGCCAACUUCCCAGAGUACAAGCAGCCUGAGCUCUCCUGGGAGUCUCCAUUAAAAGCCUCGAGUUCCACUCAGAGAUUAACUCAAAGCAGCUGAUCUGCUAGACUCUUUUUCUAUUCCCUACUCUGACUUGCAGUUUACAGAGAUUGACAAGGCUCCCAUUGUCUUCCAAGGCUCCUCUGGCACAGGAGAUGUCUGUAAAGAAGACAGCAACAUUUGAGCUCCUGAAGACUUGGCCCUUUGCUGCUUUGCACCUAUUGGAGGAGAGCAGAGAACAGAAGAAGAGAUACUGAGCCAAUGAACCCUUUCGUAUAGGAUUCAUGACAAAACCAAACUCAGUGACUAUAUAUGUAUGUGUGUGUGUGUGUGUAUGUAAAAGUGUAUAUUUACAUAUACAUUUAUAUUUAUACUUUCUUUUCUAUUAUAUCUACAUAUUGUAUAUGAUUUAUAUUUGAAAGUGCUUUGUGUAGACAAAAUAAAAUAUCUAUUUUCAGUA